GGGUCCUCAUUGAAUGUGUUAGCAUGCAUCUUUAGUCUCCACCUAACCCGCUUACUAAGCGCGAGGAGGUGGGCAGAUGGUGAUGCGGAUGCGGAUGCGCGGCAUGGUGGAAGAGGAGGAGAGGAGGGGCUAGAGCGGUCGGUCGGUCGGUCGCUCGCGGCUUUUUCUUUUUUCUUUUUUUCUCAAGCGUGUGGUGUGUGGGGCGGCAGAGGAGGUAGAGUAGGAGGACGACGAGGAGCGGCAGCCGCCGAAGUCGGGGAUCCACCUGGCGGCGGCCUAGACUGGCGCCUUCGAGGGGCGAAGGCGGCAGCGGCGGCGGCGGCGGUCUAGGCGCCUUCGCGCGGCGCCUAGGCGGCAAGGCGUUGGGCGCGGCGCUCCCGGCUCGGAAAGUCGAGCCGUAACCGAACCAGGCUAGGCCUCCGGAGGAAAAACGUCCGACUUCUUUAGACACCAGAAGCUCCACAGGUACCACGUCUUAGCAGUUCAUACUCUACACACGCCGUGUACCACACGACUUCAGGCCACACUUGAACGGGAGGACCAUUGAACCAACGAAUGACCCCACUACGUACCCGACCCUGUGCCGUCAAUAUAUACUCAUGGCAACUGGGGAACGAGGACAGUAGUAGGCCUUCACGUCUGAGCGGAAGUUUCAUAUGACGAAGACGGGCCGGUAGCCACCCGAGUAACUUGACGGAGACGGCACGACUAAGUACGAGAAGGAGUCACAUACUCCUAACGCUGUGACGAAGACAAUUAAAACGCCUACUUCCCCUACGGUAUGGUUCCGUAACAGGCCUCCUCAGACUACACUCGUCCCACCGUCUCGCUAAGGUCAGACGACUAAGCGUAAAGAAGGUAGCAGAGAGCCACCUUACGAGAGUCUUCCUCUCCGUCGCCUUCUAAAGAACCCCACCACAUUACCUCUACGUCGCCAGAGGUAGUAGGGAUCUCCAGCCUCAUCAUAGAAGGAGGGUCCUCUUUGGUUUAGCUGGGGGCUCCCCGUCCUUGUUCUCGAGCGUAAAACUUCUGGACAAAAGUAGACUCGUUCUCGUACUGGGUUCCGAUUAAAUGUAGUUACUAGGACUGUCUUGUUUGCUGGCUAUACUUAAAUGUCCUUUACUCUAAGCUUGUUCGUUCAUAUGAAACUAAUGAAAGGACGGAUUCUUGGAGAAGUAGGUCAAGGUAGCCGACCGAAUACAUAUGAAGGAUCAAUAACGACGAGAAUUGGUCGAUGGAGGAAAUCGACACAAACCUUCCUGGCGAAGUAACAAGGGCGAUGAAAAACACAACAAACACUGACGAUAUUUUCUACCAAUACUUCUGACCGCAGCAGUGUCUAGACUGUCCUUACUUUUAUUGGCUCUCCGUGAACAAGAAGUUGUACCACUAAAAGCCAGCUUUUUUACCUUUGUGUAAACACACCCCCUCCAACAGUUUUAAGUAAGGUUACUUUGUUACGGUACACUAUACCAGGACGACCCAUGUUCACUAGGUUUACCAUAUCGAAUGUAGGUUUGUUACUUAAACCUACCGCUCAGUUUGGACUUUUGUUCCAUACGAGCGGUCCUUUGACAAUGGUACUAUUCGGUGUCGAGUAUAAACCCCAACUAGUUUACGCUCGUCGGAUUGUCUUUAUAGAUACUCAAAUGUCGAUGGUACCUCGACUUAUUAGUCUCCUAAGGCGAACCGGUUAGAUUGUAACAUAACGCACCCACGGUCGAGUUCUUGUGUCUUACCUAAUAACCCCAGCAGCAGAUACGACCGGUCCUCUGUUUUCGAUACAAUUUGUCAUGUUAUAGGGCAAGUUUCUCGUCGUUAGAUCUCUCAAUGUACUUGUCCCUUUGGGAAACCAAUAGUCGAAAGGAGAACUAGUGUACGAGUCAACAACGAUGUCCCUACCCACAUACCAAUAAAUUUUUAUGAUUUUUGGAACUGCGUGAUGGUAUGAUGUCCUCUUUCAUGAAGUGGAAACCGGCCCUUUUGUCUUUCCUAAAACUCAAGAUACCAGAACGUAACCUCUAUAAAAAGAGGAAGAACUCAAGACACUAAUAGAAAGUCUAUUACUAUGGUUAUAGUAAUAUGUAGUGGUACCUCGAUCAAUCUCACCCCGUCAGUAUGAAGUACUAACCUCUAUGAGCCUACAUACUGUCAUCAAGUCCAAGUUCUAAAGUCACGGCCAGUAACUUAUAGUUACUUCUGGAUCCGGUUUAUGCUAUAUAUAAAAGACUGUUUUGUCCAUGGAACUGAGUUUUAUUCUACCUUAAAGUCGUUCGGUCGUAGAUACCCUCCUUAAUACCCUCGAGGAACGUCCAGUGAUCACUGAGUAGUGUACUUUAUUGGUAACGUCUCAGUAGCUCGGUUGUACUGUCCUUCGGGUUCAGUCUUUAGUUACAACUACGUGAUGAGAACCGUGAAGACUUUGUUGGUAACAAACCCCUCCUUUCUGAGCGUCGGGUACUAAAAAAGGAAUGAAACCGACGUACGUUAUGACAGUAAGGUCAAUCGUGUCCUCCAAGAGGACUAAACUGGUUACUUCAUUCACUCCAACCACGUUAACUAAUGGUCCCCCUUAGUGGACUACUCGUCCGGAAUCAUUAACGUCGAAGACGAAUGCCUAUGUUCGAACAACUUUCUUGUUGACCGGUGUAACAAUAUCUACAAGUCCCGCUCUCCUAUUCCAACCUACAAGAACCAGACGUACUUAAACUAUCACACUCUUUUUCUUACAGACAACAACAUUCUAAAGGUCUGCUGUCACACUUUCAAGAACAGUUCCCACGACUAUGAAGUUACGAAUCAUAAAACUCCUGGUCCUUGGUACUACCUGAAAAGCUAAGAAACGUGCGGUUUUGAUAUCUUUGAUGUCUUUUAGUAAACAGUUCAAUAAGGAGUCUCCCAGAUGCUUGGAAUCAUUAACCAAGCUUCAUGGAGUCGUUACUUCUUAAGUCACUUACCGUCCUUUCCAUGCUUCUUCGAUCGUGGAGGUACUGUCUCUCUAGCCGUUUCGAGGCAGUCCGCCGUCGGGAACAUCUCACGCUAAACUGAGAAGACCCACGUUGACCUUAACUUCUAUUCAACGUCCUACCACACGGACUCCGGUAACUCAGGGAGGCAGUCCGACCUUAGUUCCAGACCCAAGAGUGUCCCCUAUUCGUUCUUUGACGAUAUAGCUAACCAAAUAGUACAGCUAAUAAUUGAGUUCCAUACGUAAGCUAAUAGUAUUUACCAAGGAGGCUCUAACUUACGUCCUCGGAAGAUCGACUGCGAUUUCGGUUUAAACCUUAGUUCAGCCGACUGGAACCUUUCGUUCUACACCUUCUAGACGUGUUGCCGCUACAAAGUUUUAAUUCCAGGAGAUUACCAGUUCGUAGACUUUCACCUUAUGUUUUGAAGGUCAACUGACCUCAAUAACGAUUACUGUUCAGUCGUUUGUAACUCCUUAGUGGUUUAAAACUACUACGACUCAAUCGUGACUAUUAACUACCCUUGAGGGAACACAUAUAAGAUCUCUUUCUAGAACUUAGUCUCAAUAAACUGAACCGUUGGAGGACAUUUCAACAGUAGACGACGGCACAACGAGGAGACGUUUUCCGACCUUAACAGCUAGACUAAUUUUCGUCCUGCUCACUGUACUGGAACCGUUAGCCACUACCCCGUUUACUACAAAGUUACUAUGUCUACCGACUACAACCACAACCAUAUACACCAGUUCUUCCAGCAGUUCGUCACUACCGAAGUCUAAAACGAUACCCCGUCAAGGCGAAAAACUUCUCUAACGAAGAACAUGUACCCGUGACCUUAAUAGUCGCAUACCGUAUGUACUAAGAGAUGUUGAAGAUAGCCUUACGACAGAAACACGAUUACGAGAAGACCAUAUAGAACGUGUGACGUAUAAGGCGUUGAGAACGCGAUUGUCUAACCUCAUCACAAAAGAUAAGGGAAUAGAUGUGUAGUCAAGGGUGUCAUCACCAACCAUAAGAUCUGUUCCUGAACUCAGUGUUAUGAGAGGAAAUAAUAGGCUCUGAUAUACUCCGUCCCGAAGCUUUACUCCCGAUGUUAUACUGUGAGAAGACCUAGUGUUACGAUCUAUGGAACACCGUUUCGGAACAGGAAAAGAUACAUGGAAAGAAGUGUAUGUUAUAGUCAUGUUACCUGUAUACCUCAUACCCUUCAAAUACCUGUUAACGCCACCAAUAUGACCAGUUAUAAGUAGACCGGUACCUGUAAGUUGCAACCCACGAAUAUUGGGUAGAGCGGUAUACCCCGAGAUAUCGACGUUGCAAAAACACGUACCACAAUUAUCUAAGAUAUGGAUAUAAGGGAUUAAUGCCCUGUGAUAUGUUAUACCGACGAAGUUCUUGAAUGACCGAAUCACAAACGGAAUAUUAUCAGAACCCCAACGAAGGAGCCAAAGAAACGUUUCAUUAUAUACUCUGGAAGACCGGUAGACUAUAAGUUUAUCGUUCUCUUCGACUCAACAAUUUCUUCGACGGAGUUGUCAACGCUAGUUCCGGACUUUCACUAUAGUCGAUUGUUACCCAGUACGUCAAUCAAGCAGUGGGUCAAACCCUUGACACAACUAAGUAAACAACUCGACUAGAAAACAAUUUUUUUCUAAUAUGUACUCCUGUGUUCAAUCGUUCCUGUUCUCUAAGACCAACAUCUUCUCCGACUUUUUACGUGACUUCGCCGUCAACGCUUCUUGAUUGACAUACCGCUCCGUAGUUUGUCGAAGUAGGAACCCCCCACACCUGAUCACUAGUUAGUCUACUGUUUACAUGUCUAUUCCCCCCUUACUAUAUAUGAGACAUUAAAUUCUAUCUCAACACAGAUCCUCCUUUAUUUCUCCAUCGAAUAUCACCACACAGGCCAACCUUAAAAUGCGAAAUUUUCCCAUGUCCUAUUUAAAAGGAUCACUCUAGGUCUUGAAGUCUUUAAACUUAGGUUGUAACCUUUUCUACAUGUUCAGGAUGUUUCCCACCUUUAAAGUAAUAUAGAAAAAAACACCCCAAAGAACGACUUAACGGGA
rnacentral:rRNA from 1 species